rnacentral:RNase_P_RNA from 1 species
GCCGCCAAACGCUCUAUCGCGGCUGCGCAUGGCGCGGCUGAGGAAAGUCCGGACAACGCAGAGCGCCGCACCACCUAACGGGUGGGAUUCGCAGUGGGCAACCACGCGAAGCCGGAAAGUGCCACAGAAAAGAUACCGCCUCGCCUCGGCGGGGUAAGGGUGAAAUCGCGGUGUAAGAGACCACGCCGCCCGGCAGCAAUGCGGGCGAGGGUAAACCCUGCGGGUUGAAAUGCCAUGUAAACCUCAAUUUUGCCAGAGGCGCUUCGGCGAACCCUGAGCGAAGACGGGUUGCUCGCCCGUUCACCGCGCUUUGGCGCGGAGGUUGAGGAGGGUAGGCAGAGCAGACUCCUGCCGCGAGGCUGGAGCCAGAUAAAUGAUAGAGGCUGUGCGCGUUGUGAGGCGCGGGCAGUACAAAAUCCGGCUUACAGCUUGGCGGCGCUU